UCAAUUGUGACUGAUAAACCUUUAACUACAUACUAAAUAAUGCAUUUAUUGAAAAUAUUUAUUACUGAUAACAAGAUUGUAACCGUGUUUUUAAUAGCAGAAAGCGCAAAAAAUAUUUAAUGAUUGGUAAAUGCUAAAAGAUUUAUUGUGGUCUACUAUAGUCUCAUAAGGUAGAAAUACCGUGUGUAAUGCUCAUUUCUUUCAAAUUUAACUCGAUAUCCUUCAUAAGAACCAUUGUUUUCGACAUUUAUUCAUUCUUUUAGGAAUAUUGAAACAACAUUAUUAAUUGUGGUAAACCUUAUCUGGCAGUACUUAAGAGUGCAUCUUUGACUUUAUUACUCGAGUGAAUGCACCUUCAAACCGGUUUAACACCAACAUGUCACAGUAAUCAAUACCAUCUGUGUUAAGAUGUCGGGAAUGUGUUAGACGAAUGAUUUUGUUUUAUGGAGCUUUGAAGAGCGAUGAAUGGCACUAAAGUGGUGCCAAAUGGAUAUCUCAAACACCCAUUGUUGAUGUGUGAUGCUGAUAAUACAGAGACAGCUAGAGUGACAGAGUUUGAUGAAUAAACUUAAAUUAAAAAACAAUUAUCAUUAAAAUGGGGAUAAUGGAUGACUGGCCACACAUAUGGGGCUAUGGACAAGCUUCAGAGCAGGCUGCCAGGUGGUGGUGUUAGUAGUUUAUACUCCGGGUCCCGGCGUGAGCACAUUGAAGGGUCCCAGAGUGACAGUUCAACCACCCACACCUAUCCUGGGCAGAACCAGUACUAGGUGCCUUCACCUCUGCAAGGAACUGACAGUUUCUGUACAUGCCAGGUGCAGUGGUACAGUGCGAAUGGUCGUAGAAAGGAUUUCAUAACCAAUCACAACAGAGGUCACCUGGUCCGCCCGGGAAUCGAACCCGGGAUGUCCAAUUCAGAGUCCAAUGCUCUACCGAUUGAGCUGACCGGGCGGACAUAUUAGCUACAUUAGAUGACAAGCCAUCUAUGCUGGACAUUCUUCACAAUAAAAUGUGAUGUCACAGGAGCUGUCUAUCUCAACAGCUCACACUGUCCGUAUUUGACUAAAGGAAUGAAUGAAGUCACUGCAGAAGUUAGAUUGAGGAAUGUCCAUGUCACUACCCAUCAUUUGGAAGGAGUUGGAUAAAAAAAGUGUGGCCUAUGUAUUGAAACAGGUCCGAUUUCCAGUUACGGACAGUCUUGAUUUGUCUGAUUACAUUUUUGACCAACAUGAUGGUCUAAAAGAACACUUACUGGUAACUGGUAAAAUCAUGGCCCAGUUGUUCCAAGAGGCAGGAGAGUGGGAAGUUACUAGACUCCAUUUCUUUAUGGGUUGAUCUGAGGUUCCAGUUCAGUUAAAGUACUGAUAGAACACCAAGUGUUUGCCAUAAUACAGCAACAUUUCAUUUGUAACUAUGUAUUUGUUUGAAUUGUUGAAACAGUACUGUUUACUAAAUAAUGUGUAUGUAUAUGAAGAAUAAUAUUAUAAAUAAUUUGUAAGAACCUUUUGAUAUUAAGUAAAAUGUCGAUAAGUCUAAAUAUGUAUCUGCGAAUCAUUUUUGUAUAUCUGUAAAGAUUACAUUGCCUAUAUUCCUCAAUUUAUAUUUUUCUUUUAGCCAGUCAAUAACUUUGUUAAGUUCUAUCUUCAAAAUUGUCGGGACAGGGAUUAUAGCCCUUAAUUAACCCAAAUAUGUAACAUUCAAUGCAAAAUUGGCUGCAAUUAGGCAGUUCAGAUGCAGGAACAAACAUCACUUGGGUCCUUAAUAAUAGCUUUCCAUCUGACAUUGAAGAUCCAAUAAAAGGAAUUUGUCAUGUGACUGUUUAUUAACUCUCAAUUUAUUGAAAGUGAAAUUACUUACAUGAUUUGUAAGAACUAAAUUAUAAUGAUAUCAAAUGAUUGUUUAAAUUAAAUAAAAUAGAUGAUUACAUACAUGAACUAUUUUUAUUUCUUGUUUGUCAAUAUGAAGAGUAAUGCAAUGGCUUUUGAAUUUCAUAAAAAAGGAUGGAAAAAUGUAUGUUUAUUGUUUAAGCAAUUAAUUAAGUAAUAAAAGUUGUUUUUUUUCUUUUUUUCAAAUUGUGCUAUCUUAUAAUACAGAUCGUUAUUUGUUUAAUUUUGGUACAAAUGAAGUAUAUAAGGUAUGUCUAAUGUUACAAAUAGCAAAAAUUCAAAUGCAAAUCAUGGUGACUUGACUAAAUGUGAAUGCUAAUUGAAUCAAAAUAGUUAAUAAAUAAUAAUGUUCAUUUGAAACAAUUGAGAGUAUAAGUUUGGUUUGUGUAUGCCAUAUAUUCCCAGGGGGGAAGGGGGGGGGGAAUGAAAAAAUGAAAAGUAUAUUACUAUGCGCAGUGCUAUAAUAAUUAAUAAGUAAAUGUUUUUGUGAUCACAAUUUGUCCGGCGUCCGUCUGUCGUCCGUCCGUCCGUAAACUUUUACUUUAAACGACAUCUCCUCAUAAACCGCUUAGCCAAUUUCUUCCAAACUUUACAGGAAUGUUCCUUGGGUGGUCCCCUUUGAAAAUUGUUCAAAGAAUGGAAUUCCAUGCAGAACUCUGGUUGCCAUGGCAACGGAAAUGGCAACGGAAAGGAAAAACUUUAAAAAUCUUAGUUUUCAAAACCACAAGGCCUAGAGCCUUAAUAUUUGGUAUAUAGCAUCAUCUAGUGGUCCUCUACCAAAAUUGUUAAAACUAUCCCCCUGGGGUCAAAAAUGGCCCUGCCCCGGGGGUCACUUGUUUUACAUAGACUUAUAUAGGGAAAACUUUAAAAAUCUUCUUCUCAAAAACCACAAGGCCUAGAACCUUGAAAAUUCUCCUGGGGUCAAAAAUGGCCCCGCCCCAGGGGUCACUAGUUUCAUUACAUAGUGUUAUAUAGUAAAUCUUUAAAAAUCUUCUCCGAAACUGUAAGGCCCAGGGCUUAGAUAUUUGGUAUACAGCAUCAUCUAGUGGACCUCUACCAGAUUUGUUCAAAUUAUUGCCACAGGGUCAAAAUUGACCCCGCCUAGGGGGUCCUUGUUUUUACGUAGUGUUAUAUAGUAAAUCUUUAAAAAUAUUCUUCUCCAGAACCGUAAGGCCAGGAGAAUAGAUAUUUGGUAUACAACAUCAUCUUGUGGACCUCUAUCAAAGUUGUUCAAAUUAUUGCCACAGGGUCAAAAUUGGCCCCGCCCUGAAAGUUAUUUGUUUUUAUAUAGUCUUAUAUAAUAAAACUUUAAAAAUC